GUUGUAUGGUUAAGUGACUAAGCGUACACGGUGGAUGCCUGGGCAGUCAGAGGCGAUGAAGGACGUACUAACUUGCGAUAAGCGCAGAUAAGGCAGUAAGAGCCGUUUGAGUCUGCGAUUUCCGAAUGGGGAAACCCAACUGCAUAAGCAGUUACUGUUAACUGAAUACAUAGGUUAACAGAGCAAACCGGGGGAACUGAAACAUCUAAGUACCCCGAGGAGAAGAAAUCAACCGAGAUUCCGGUAGUAGCGGCGAGCGAACCUGGAUUAGCCCUUAAGCACUCGGUGAAGUAGGUGAACAAGCUGGAAAGCUUGGCGAUACAGGGUGAUAGCCCCGUAACCGACGCUUCAUCGAGCGUGAAAUCGAGUAGGGCGGGACACGUGAUAUCCUGUCUGAAUAUGGGGGGACCAUCCUCCAAGGCUAAAUACUCCUGACUGACCGAUAGUGAACCAGUACCGUGAGGGAAAGGCGAAAAGAACCCCUGUGAGGGGAGUGAAAUAGAACCUGAAACCGUGUACGUACAAGCAGUAGGAGCACCUUCGUGGUGUGACUGCGUACCUUUUGUAUAAUGGGUCAGCGACUUAUAUUCAGUGGCAAGGUUAACCGUAUAGGGGAGCCGUAGCGAAAGCGAGUCUUAACUGGGCGCUCAGUCUCUGGAUAUAGACCCGAAACCGGGUGAUCUAGCCAUGGGCAGGUUGAAGGUUGAGUAACAUCAACUGGAGGACCGAACCGACUAAUGUUGAAAAAUUAGCGGAUGACUUGUGGCUAGGGGUGAAAGGCCAAUCAAACUCGGAGAUAGCUGGUUCUCCCCGAAAGCUAUUUAGGUAGCGCCUCGGACGAAUACUACUGGGGGUAGAGCACUGUUAAGGCUAGGGGGUCAUCCCGACUUACCAACCCUUUGCAAACUCCGAAUACCAGUAAGUACUAUCCGGGAGACACACGGCGGGUGCUAACGUCCGUCGUGGAGAGGGAAACAACCCAGACCGCCAGCUAAGGUCCCAAAGUAUUGCUAAGUGGGAAACGAUGUGGGAAGGCUCAGACAGCUAGGAUGUUGGCUUAGAAGCAGCCAUCAUUUAAAGAAAGCGUAAUAGCUCACUAGUCGAGUCGGCCUGCGCGGAAGAUGUAACGGGGCUAAGCAAUACACCGAAGCUGCGGCAAUGUCUUUUAGAUAUUGGGUAGGGGAGCGUUCUGUAAGCCGUUGAAGGUGAAUCGUAAGGUUUGCUGGAGGUAUCAGAAGUGCGAAUGCUGACAUGAGUAACGACAAAGGGGGUGAAAAACCUCCUCGCCGGAAGACCAAGGGUUCCUGUCCAACGUUAAUCGGGGCAGGGUGAGUCGACCCCUAAGGUGAGGCCGAAAGGCGUAAUCGAUGGGAAACGGGUUAAUAUUCCCGUACUUCUGACUAUUGCGAUGGGGGGACGGAGAAGGCUAGGUGGGCCAGGCGACGGUUGUCCUGGUUCAAGUGCGUAGGCUUGAGAGUUAGGUAAAUCCGGCUCUCUUUAAGGCUGAGACACGACGUCGAGCUGCUACGGCAGUGAAGUCAUUGAUGCCAUGCUUCCAGGAAAAGCCUCUAAGCUUCAGAUAGUCAGGAAUCGUACCCCAAACCGACACAGGUGGUCGGGUAGAGAAUACCAAGGCGCUUGAGAGAACUCGGGUGAAGGAACUAGGCAAAAUGGUACCGUAACUUCGGGAGAAGGUACGCUCUUGAUGGUGAAGUCCCUCGCGGAUGGAGCUGACGAGAGUCGCAGAUACCAGGUGGCUGCAACUGUUUAUUAAAAACACAGCACUGUGCAAAAUCGCAAGAUGACGUAUACGGUGUGACGCCUGCCCGGUGCCGGAAGGUUAAUUGAUGGGGUUAGCGCAAGCGAAGCUCUUGAUCGAAGCCCCGGUAAACGGCGGCCGUAACUAUAACGGUCCUAAGGUAGCGAAAUUCCUUGUCGGGUAAGUUCCGACCUGCACGAAUGGCGUAAUGAUGGCCACGCUGUCUCCACCCGAGACUCAGUGAAAUUGAAAUCGCUGUGAAGAUGCAGUGUACCCGCGGCUAGACGGAAAGACCCCGUGAACCUUUACUACAGCUUGGCACUGAACAUUGAACCUACAUGUGUAGGAUAGGUGGGAGGCUAUGAAGACGUGACGCCAGUUGCGUUGGAGCCGUCCUUGAAAUACCACCCUUGUAUGUUUGAUGUUCUAACUUAG
rnacentral:rRNA from 1 species